rnacentral:rRNA from 1 species
UACGUAGGGUGCGAGCGUUAAUCGGAAUUACUGGGCGUAAAGCGUGCGCAGGCGGUUCGUUGUGUCGGUGGUGAAAGCCCCGGGCUCAACCUGGGAAUGGCCAUGGAAACUGGCGAACUGGAGUGUGGCAGAGGGGGGUGGAAUUCCGCGUGUAGCAGUGAAAUGCGCAGAUAUCAGGAGGAACACCGGUGGCGAAGGCGGGUCUCUGGGCCGAUACUGACGCUGAGGAGCGAAGGCGUGGGGAGCGAACAGG